AUAAGUUGAGAGCUGCAUCACCUUGGGACGCUUGCAGAUCCCAGCCUGCCUGUCCCCUUUGCCAGGGAGCUCGGUGCUUCUCUCUGCUCCUCCCAGAAACCCAUCACCAACAUGUCUGAUACCGAGGAAGUGGAUCAAGGAGAGG